CGAUUGUAGUCAUAUGCUUGUCUCAAAGAUUAAGCCAUGCAUGUCUAAGCACAAACCUUUACACGGUGAAGCUGCGAAUGGCUCAUUAGGCCACCCAUGAUUUCUUAGAUCGUACAAUCCUACUUGGAUAACUGCGGUAAUUCUGGAGCUAAUACAUGCCACAAAGCUCCGACCCCUAUGGGAAAGAGCGCGUUUAUUAGGUCAAAACCAAUCGGGUCCUCGCGGCCCGUAACUCUGAUGACUCUGGAUAACUUCGAGCUGAUCGCAUGGCCUCGUGCCGGCGACGUAUCUUUCAAGUGUGUGCCCUAUCAACUUUCGAUGGUACGUGAUAUGCCUACCAUGGUAGUAACGGGUAACGGGGAAUCAGGGUUCGAUUCCGGAGUGGGAGCCUGAGAAACGGCUACCACAUCCAAGGAAGGCAGCAGGCGCGCAAAUUACCCAAUCCCGACACGGGGAGGUAGUGACAAUAAAUAACAAUAUAGGGCUCUAUGGGUCUUAUAAUUGGAAUGAGUACAAUUUAAAUCCCUUAACGAGGAACAAUUGGAGGGCAAGUCUGGUA
rnacentral:rRNA from 1 species